AAUCAUGUUGUAAGCAUGCUCAAGAAAGAUGGCGUGCCUGAAAUGUGCAAGUUUAUUAAAUGUUUGCAAGGGAGUUCAAGGUUCUUUCUGGAAUGCUACCGGACUUCGCUGGUUUCAGACGUCAGUUCCAGUCACAGCCGGACAAAAGUGGAGAUUAGAGCAAGGUCUAGCAGCUGACAAUACCCGCUAUGGGCCCCUGACCGACAUGCCAGACUACUCAUAUCUUGAUGGGCGUCCAACUCCACUAAGUAAAGGUCAGGUUCAGAGGAGGCGGAGGAGGAUUGGAAUAGCGAAAAGAAUUAAGUUUCUAGUUGGGGAAAUGAAUGAAGCUCGAGAGAAUUAUGCCCUGAAACAGAAGGAGGAGGUGACACAAAAUGAGGAAGCUGUGAAGAAAAGACUCAAGCCGAAGACAGAUCAGUGAUAUCAGUAGAUGUGUGUGUGUGUGUUUGUUGAAGAGAGGGUGUCCCUUUUAUCUAAGGCACUGAAAUCAGACAUGCUUAAAUGUGUCUGAAUAUUGCUAAUAUUUCCAGGGUGCCGUUGUACAAAGCCAUCUUAGCGUUAUGG